rnacentral:lncRNA from 1 species
GGGAACAUAAUUAUUGCGAUACCUAUUCCAAUUUAUUCUGAUUUUCAUUCAAGCCAUGCACCCAAGAUCUCUAUAAUAAAAUUGUAAAUUGAGGCUUAUACUGAUUCAAGAAAAAAGAAAAAAGAGAGGAUCACAUAAAAGUAGCUUAGUUUCAAAUUCAUGGGUUUAGGAUGCCUUGUCAUUGGUUAUCUAAAAUCAGACAUCUAAAUUAUAAAAAAACAAGUAAAGA